GACUCUUUUCAGGGACAUCUAAUAAAAUAGAAUGAUACAAAGAAGAUUACCAUGUCCUUGUGCAAAGAUGACACACUUAAAUCAGGAAUUGAACUAUGAACAA